ACGAGGCGAAAGCGGUUAAGUUUUUUCUGUUCUGAAGUAGCAAAGCGAGAAUGUGUGCUCAGACAAAAAAAAAAAAGAUAAAAAUACGGAUAUUUUCUGGUCUUUUCUGAGGGCUUCACAAAUUUAUGAUUUCGUCGGAGGAGAUUUGGACAGCUUUAUCCUUAAUCUUCAUCUUAAGACUUAUUUUUUGUUAACUGCUGCCUGUCCCAUGAAUUUCAUAUUUGUAUUUUUUAUGUAUUGCAACUAAAUUCCCAAUAAAAGUUAUUGUUUGUUCAAAUAUUGUUUUCUUCAUUUAUUAUGUUUCUGUGGUUGUUACUGACAUGUUAGCACUUUUGGAUGUGCAUAUUGCACACCAAGGAAAAUAUUGCUUUUAAAUAAGGGUGAGGUGGCUAAUAAAUUUACCUUUCCCCAUCUGCGUUUAUUUUUAAAAGCCUCAAACCCAAUACCUUAAACUAUGGAAGAACUUCUCACACAAAAAGAAGAAAAAUCGUUGUGCACUGCAGCAACCAAGAUGCUUUGCCACA